UAAGCAUAUCAAUAAGCGGAGGAAAAGAAACUAACAAGGAUUCCCCUAGUAACUGCGAGUGAAGCGGGAAAAGCUCAAAUUUAAAAUCUGGCAGUCUCUGGCUGUCCGAGUUGUAAUCUAGAGAAGUAAUGCCCGUGCUGGACCGUGUAUAAGUCUCCUGGGAUGGGGCGUCAUAGAGGGUGAGAAUCCCGUCUUUGACACGGACUACCAGUGCAUUGUGGUAUGCUCUCAAAGAGUCGAGUUGUUUGGGAAUGCAGCUCAAAAUGGGUGGUAAAUUCCAUCUAAAGCUAAAUAUUGGCGAGAGACCGAUAGCGAACAAGUACCGUGAGGGAAAGAUGAAAAGAACUUUGGAAAGAGAGUUAAACAGUACGUGAAAUUGCUGAAAGGGAAACGCUUGAAGUCAGUCGCGUUGGCCGGGAAUCAGCCUUGCUUUUGCAUGGUGUACUUUCUGGUUGACGGGUCAGCAUCAAUUUUGACUGCUGGAAAAAGGCCUGGGGAAUGUGGCAGCUUCGGCUGUGUUAUAGCCCCUAGUCACAUACAGUGGUUGGGAUUGAGGAACUCAGCACGCCGCAAGGCCGGGUUUCGACCACGUUCGUGCUUAGGAUGCUGGCAUAAUGGCUUUAAGCGACCCGUCUUGAAACACGGACCAAGGAGUCUAACAUGCCUGCGAGUAUUUGGGUGGAAAACUCAAGUGCGYAAUGAAAGUGAAAGUUGAGAUCCCUGUCGUGGGGAGCAUCGACGCCCGGACCAGAACUUUUGGGACGGAUCCGCGGUGGAGCAUGUAUGUUGGGACCCGAAAGAUGGUGAACUAUGCCUGAAUAGGGUGAAGCCAGAGGAAACUCUGGUGGAGGCUCGUAGCGAUUCUGACGUGCAAAUCGAUCGUCAAAUUUGGGUAUAGGGGCGAAAGACUAAUCGAACCAUCUAGUAGCUGGUUCCUGCCGAGUUCCCC
rnacentral:rRNA from 1 species